ACACAACUUAGAGCUCUUUUUUCUUUUUAAUUGUGUAUUCGGAAAAUGGUUAGCAUAAAUUUUAUUUUUGGGUAAGUUAGUCAAUUAAUCAAUAGUACUGACACGCAAACGAAAUUCUAUGUGUGUCAGCAUUCUAUUGGCCAAUUGACCAACUUACCAACAAAUAAACUUCAUAUUAAUCAGAUAUUUAAAAAAAAUAUCAGUGAACACGUUUCAAGAUAUUUAAAAAAAAUAUUUUUCUUAAAUUAUCUCUAGCUAAUUCUUCUCCGGAUCCCUUUUCCAAGCUCCCCUAAGC
rnacentral:lncRNA from 1 species